rnacentral:SRP_RNA from 1 species
GCUGGGUGCAGUGGCACGUGCCUGUAGUCCCAGCUACUCGGGAGGCUGUGGCUGGAGGAUGCUUGAGCGCAGGAGUUCUGGGCUGCAGUGCACUAUGCCAAUCAGGUGUCUGCACUAAGUUUGGCAUCAAUAUGGUGACCUCCCAGGAGCAGGGGACCACCAGGUUGCCUAAGGAGGGGUGAACCGGCCCAGGUCGAAAAUGGAGCAGGUCAAAACUCCCAUGCUGAUCAGUAGUGGGAUCGCGCCUGUGAAUAGCCACUGCACUCCAGCCUGGGCAACAGAGCAAGACCCUGUCUCUA